GUCUGAAGCAAUGUACGAUAGCAUGUCUCUGAUGAAGUAGGGCGCACCUCCUACGAAACGCAUUAGGCAGUUUGCAAAAGCAAGACACCGAUCGCAUUCACCAGCAGCAGUUCCACUUUCCAAGCAGGACCUUUGGUAAUAGCAGCAACCAGCAUCGCCUGUUUUGCACGUCCCCGGGAGUGAGGCUUCUGUUCGGAACGUGCACUCAGCAUCACGCCGUCCUCACCGGCAGCUGGAAUACCAACAACUUACCAACAGUAUGCAGAUCCAUCCUCCUAUAAUCCAAGGGUCCUUGCUGGCAUUUGAUAUAA